GACGAACGCUGGCGGCGUGCUUAACACAUGCAAGUCGAACGGAAAGGCCUCUUUCGGGGGGUACUCGAGUGGCGAACGGGUGAGUAACACGUGAGUAACCUGCCCUUGACUUUGGGAUAACUUCAGGAAACUUGGGCUAAUACCGGAUAGGAGCUCCUGCUGCAUGGUGGGGGUUGGAAAGUUUCGGCGGUUGGGGAUGGACUCGCGGCUUAUCAGCUUGUUGGUGGGGUAGUGGCUUACCAAGGCUUUGACGGGUAGCCGGCCUGAGAGGGUGACCGGCCACAUUGGGACUGAGAUACGGCCCAGACUCCUACGGGAGGCAGCAGUGGGGAAUAUUGCACAAUGGGUGGAAGCCUGAUGCAGCAACGCCGUGUGCGGGAUGACGGCCUUCGGGUUGUAAACCGCUUUCGCUCAUGACGAAGCUUUGUGUGACGGUAGUGGGUAAAGAAGCACCGGCUAACUACGUG
rnacentral:rRNA from 1 species